rnacentral:lncRNA from 1 species
GGUAUAAAAUUGAUUAUAAACUUGCCAUUCGUUGAUAAUCGAAAAGGAAAUGGAGAUCUUGACUAAGCCAAUUCAUGGUGCAUGCGUGGAUGCAAUUCAUAACUAAAUGACAACAAUACGAUCUGGCUUGAUAAUGAGAUUAAUUAAUGAAUGAUGUUCAUCGAUUACAUUACACUUUGCUACAUCAAUCCCAUAGGCCUUAUUUCGUGCAAAAUUAUCAAUCAAUUACAGAGAUAUAAUUUUUUUUUCUGAGUCAUUAAGCAUGCAUGGUGCCACCAAAGACACAUGGAGCUUGGCCUCUUACGGGUUCGGCUGCUUUCUAUUUCUGUUCCUCGGAUUCGGGUUUUGAGACGCCUCUUUCAGUUUUUUAUAAUCAACGUACCCGAUGCCGUGCUCAAGAGUGCCUGCCUUGUUGGUCGUCGUCACCGCCGCCUCUGCCGGCUGGCAAAAUGGUAUCGUAAUGCCCCAUAUUUGGCAGUAAUUCUUCGCCUGAUUUUUCACUUGAUUAGAUGCAUUCACGUUAUUCACAAAUAACAGUGAAACAAUUGCCAAGGUCAUUAGCCAUGAUGUGAACUUGGAUACCGCCAUUUUUUCUUUCUGUAAAUGAUCUUGUAAUUUUGCAAUUUUUUUCUAAUUCCAACUUCGGGGCUAUAUAAAGAUUUUUGUAUGGAGGGUUCCAAGUUAGCAAUUGGAUCUAAAUUUGGAAGUUUUGACCUUUUCCCCACGUUUUGUUUGUGGGAUAAUUUGGGAUGAGAGUAAUAUAUAUAAUAAGAUUCCGUUGUAUCACCGAUAUUUAUUCUGACUUGGUUUAUUUCUUUGGUUAUUUUGUGUGUGAUUUUUAGACUAUUUGUUAGGCAGCAACUAGGUAAACUCAUAUACUCGCCCUUUGGCCGAGUGGCAGCCGUUCAAGUCCCCACAAAAGCUGAGUGGUAGCAGUUUAAGCCUCCACAAAAGUAUUGUGGGGGCUAAUCCUUCCUCAAUUAUCAUUUUUAAUUGAGUGAAAGUUAGUCUUCUUCUUUACCAAUGUGAGUAGAGUAGACAUUUCUUGAAAAAUAUUAUAAAGGGUAAAAAUCUGGGCAGUGUUUCAUGAGAAUGUAUGUAAACUAUGGUAAAAAUAUGGGCAGUGCUUCAUGAGAAUGUAUGUAAAUUAGUCUCAAUAAUAGUCUCAUGUAAAUAUGAGUGAUAAUCUCAUUAUAAAUAUCAGUAAUAGUCUCAUGUAAUAUGACUUAUAGUCUGAUUGUAAUGGUAAGUUAAAAAAAAAGCUUGGUAAAUCUAGAUGAAAAUAAUACUAAAAAAAGAUCACAAAUAAAAUAAUUAAGAUUAAUUGUAACAAUUAAUCCUGCAUAUUGCACAUAUAUCAAUGUUAAGAAGAAUCCAUGGACAAAGUUGUUGAAUAAGCAAAUUGAGUAUAUCGCAUUGAGGAAAGUUAAACAAUAAAUACCAAAUAUCCAAGCAAAAAGUAAAAACAAAUAGACAAAAAUGUAUUUUGAUUUGUUCCUGUAAAUGCUUCGAUUUGAGUUUAAUAAUCUUGAAUCAUUAAACGAAGUACAAGAAUUAAUCUCAAAUUAAGAGACCAACAUUGUCAUUCGUGGUCUUGGAUUUAUGCCGACGACUCAUUUAUGAACAAUAAACAUGACGUAUCAGUCAUCGAACAACAUCCGAAAGUUAUCGGUCUCAGCAAUUAGAAAUCUAGAGUAUAUCUACUAAUGAUAGGUGAACACAUGACAAUAAAUGCCAAAAAAAAAUUUAAAAUAAAAAUUUAUGUUCUCUUUCUUCAAUAUCCAUCCAAUAUUUUUUAUUUAAAAAAAAAAGAAACAAAUCAUUAAUGUUGCUGUUUCUGUCUCGCUUCAUUAGCUCAAUCAUAUUCUUCUGUUCUCUUCUCAGUCUUUAUCUUCAUUCUAUUGACUGCCAUUCUUAAAAGCUUGUGAAAAAAAAGAAGGAUUUUUUUAUGAUGAAGAUGGUUUUUGUUGAUUUCGUCACUGGCAGUGAAGUAGCUGCAGAUUUCUUUAUGAUCGAUGAUGAAGAAGUUGAUUUUGCAAUGCUGCUAUUGUGUCAUCCCAAGUAUUGUGAUCGGGCUAGUAGAGACUCUUUCAAUGGACAUUGCAGCUGCCUUCUCGCAGCUGGGGAGAUUGUAUUGGAUUUAUUUUUAUUUUGUUAGCUUAUUAUUAUUCAGAUUAUUAAUGAAUUUUAAUGAAUAAUAUUUUAUCUUUUUUUUUUAACUAGUUCAUUUGGAAUUCGAAUUUCUUCUGUUUAGUUCUAAUUUGUAACUGUAUAUUUAAACUUGUUUAUCAUAAUCGCAAGAUCAAAUAGUAAGCUCUAUAACAUCUUAAUUUCCAUUAAAUCCCUGAUAACAUUAUUCUUUUGUAAAAAUAAAAAAUCUGCUGGCAGUUAGAACUUAUUGUAUCCAAUAAAGAGUAACUAACAUUUGCUUAGAAAAACAAAAAACUUCUAGAGAUGAGUUAACGUUGUCAUAUGUUUUAAUUGCCCGAAACAAUUACAUCGUAGCUUUGCUGAUAUCUUAACAACUAAAGAGUAAAAUGAAAUUAUGUCUUAAUUUUGUCAAAUAAAUUGAUAAAAGAAUUGCAAAUAUAUGGUGAUGAGAUAAUCAAGAGUUAUAGAAUUUUAAUUACAGAAGAACAGAAUAGUAGCUAUUAAUAGACCAAUAUAGUCACUCGGCCUUUAGUUGAGUGGUUGGGCUGUGUGAGGGCAGCAAUUCAAGUCUCACAAAAGUAUUGUGGGGCUCAAGUCCUUCCUCAAUUAUAACUUAUAAUUGAGUGAAGGUCAGUCUUCUCCCUGACUAAUGUGAGUGGAGUAGACGUCUCUCGAAUAUUAGAGAGGAUAAAAAUUUGGACGGUGCUUCAUGAGAAUGUACGUAAACUAAAUCCUAGUAAUAGUCCCAUGUAAAUAUAAGUGAUAGUUUGAUUGUAAAUAGACGUCUCUCGAAUAUUAAAAAGGAUAAAAAUUUGGACGGUGCUUCAUGAGAAUGUACGUAAACUAAAUCCUAGUAAUAGUCCCAUGUAAAUAUAAGUGAUAGUUUGAUUGUAAAUAUCAGUAAUAUUCUCAUGUAAUAUGAGUGAUAAUCUGAUUGUAAUAAUCAGUUUAAAAAAAAUAAUAGACCAAUAUGCUACAAGAAUUAUUGUUUAAGAUUACUUUAUGAGAAAUGUGAAAAAGCACUGUCUCAAUGUUCUAUGCAAAAAUUUAUAUAUUUCAAGUAACAUAAUUUUCAUCAUUAAAAAAAAAAUGCUUCUUCAGAGGGUUUAAAAAAUGGCACUAAAAUGGAAAUAAAGAUUAGAGAAUGAAAUAAUAAAGUGACAAAGAAAUAGCAACAUUAAUGAUUGACCUCUUUUUUUAAAUUAAAAAAUAUUAGAGGAAUAUUGAAAAGAGAGAAUCACAAAUUCAAAUUUUAAAAAUUUUCAACAUUUAUUAAUUCUAUCUGGCUAUGUUGGACUAACUCUAAUGUAGAGCCGACAAGUAUAGCCUUACAAUCAAAACUCAAAGGGACUUGUGGUUAUCAUCGCACAAUUAUAUUUGUUAGUUCUAUGUUGGAAUUGCUCCAACUUAGAGAAGACACAGUCAUGUGCUGUUUUGAAAGUCACUUAACACACGCGCACACUGUUAAAUGCAUGAUUUGAACUAUGUAAGACCUUUAUAUAAUAAGUCAAGUAAAACAGAUAAAAAAAAUUUCAUAGUGAAAAUAUAAAAUUAAUUCAAAAGAUUAAAGGAAUGGAUAAAUGGGUGGAUUUGAUUAUGAACUGUGUCACUACUCCCACAUUCUCUAUUCUGAUAAAUGGGAUUGCAAAAGGUCUAAUUCAGGCCCAAAGAGGCCUUCGACAGGGAUGUCCGUUAUCACCAUAUUUGUUCAUCAUAUGUGCAGAAGUAUUUUCAAAUCUUUUAUUGCAGGGAGAGCGGCAAAGUUGGAUUCACGGGCUGGAAUUUUCUAGAGACAUCACUAUUUUCCACCUUCUUUUUGCGGAAGAUAGCUUUGUAUUCACAAGGGCUAAUAUUGAAGAGUGCAAGCAUUUAAAGUCAAAUUUUGAUUGCUAUACUUCUGCAUCAGGCCAAGUUUUUGACUAUGAAAAAUCAUUAAUGUUCCUUAGUGGUCAGAUUCAGGAAGGACAAAUCACAGCAAUAAAGAAGUUUUUUGAUCUCACUGUGGUGUCUAAGCAUGAGAAAUACUUGGGCUUGCCUUCAAUGAUAGGAGGGAAAAGAACAAGUUUCUUUAACGAUAUUAAACUCAAAGUCUUGAGUAAGAUAUCUAGUUGGCAGCACAAAAUUUUUUCCAAUAGAGGCAAGGAAAUUCUGAUAAAAGUCGUAGCUCAGGUUGUCCCUGCAUAUGCAAUGAGUGUUUUUAAAAUUUCGAUAGAGCUGUGCAAUGAAAUCCAGAGAGGAAUGGCAAGAUUUUGGCGGGCACCGAAGGAAGAUAGAAAAGGAAUGCACUCGACAAAAUGAGAGAAGAUGAGAUGUGCUAAAUAUAGAGGAGGAAUGAGAUUCAGAGACAUAUCUAGUUUUAACCAAGCCUUGGUUGCAAAGCAAGGUUGGAGGCUGAUUUAGUAUCCUGAUUCCUUGGUAGCAAGAGUGUUGAAAGCAAAAUAUUUUAAGAACUCUCAUUUUCUCAAGGCCAAGACAAGAUCCAACCCUUCUUUUGUUUGGAAAAGCAUCUUAUAGGAUAGACAGGUUCUUCAAAUAGGCAUCAGAUGGAGAGUUGGAAGAAGAGAAAAAAUUAAAAUCCACUCCAGUAAUUGGCUGCCUAGGCCAAUGUCUUUUAAACCAAUUGUGAGAUCAAUGCUGCCAGCUGACACCAGAGUUUCUGAGCUGAUUGGUCCUAACCACAGGUGGGAUGAAGCUUUAAUUCAGCAGAACUUUGCUGCAGAUGAUGCUGAAGCUAUUAUGAGAAUUCCUUUGCCUAGUGAGCCCAAAGAAGAUGAGAUGCUUUGGCACUAUGACAAGAAGGGGAAUUAUUCUGUUAAAAAUGGUUACCAAUUAGCUCUUAAGAUCAAAUUUCCUGACAAGUCUUGUUGUUCAAACUCUGACCCCCAAGGUUGGCAAACAAUAUGGAAGUUGGGGAUUCCUAAAAAGGUGAAAAUUUUCUUAUGGAGAGCUGCAAAAAACUUGAUGCCAACUAGGAAAACUUAUGGAAAAGGAAGGUGGUGCAUGAGCUUAUCUGUCAAAUAUGUAAGAAGGAGCUGGAAAAUAUUCCCCAUGCUCUGCUGGACUGCAAACUUGCCAAGAAAAUGUGGAGGCACACCCAUAUUGCUGCAGAAGUUCAAAAUGAAGCCAGACAGGAUUUGUUGAGCAUGCUGCAAAGCUUGACAAAAAAAACUAACAACCAAGGAGAUUAAGCUGGUAUCUUUUGUGUGGUGGGGGUGUGGAAUGCAAGGAACAAAGUUAUUUAUGAAGGAAAAAGCCAGAUUCUGCCAUAUCAAUAGCUAAGGUUACUGCAGUCAUGGAAGCUUAUCAAAGAGUCAAAGAGCUUGAGCAGUAGUAAUUUAAACAAAGAGAGUCGAGAGAAACACAUCAAUGGGAACCGCCCUCUAAAGGGUGGCAUAAAAUCAAUGUGGAUGCGGCUAUUGACAAAAAUCAGCAAAUUGCAAGUCUUGGGGUUGUUAUCAAAGACUCAUCUCAGAAGAUUGUAGCAGCAACUAGUAGGUGUAUAAAAUUUUAUGAGGACACCUCUUUUGCAGAAGCUGAGGCAGCCAAAUGGGGAUUAUACGUAGCUCAAAAUGCUAGACUUUCAUCAGUAAUUAUUGAAUCUGAUUGCUUAGAGGUGGUUGAGCUAAUUAAUAAUAGGAAAAGCAGUCGGAUUGAAUUAUGCUGGCCUAUUUCUGAUAUAAUCAGCAGCAGCAGGAAAGAUUUCCAAGUGGUUAAAUGUCAGCAUGUUCUUCGAGCUUGUAAUACUAUUGCUCAUAGCUUGGCUAAAAGAGCGAUAAGAUGUGGUGAAACCAAUAUUUGGCUGGAAAACUUUCCGGACGUUGUCCUGUCUUAAUUUCAGUUGAAUGGUAGAAAGUUUUUUCUUUCUUUCAAAAAAAAAAAAAACAUAAAGAAGAAAUAGCCUUUAGGCUAAUUGAAAAGCGAGGGAAGCCUCUGGAUUUCUGAAAACAGCAUUUAUAAGGCUCUGGUUGCUAGGCUAAAUUCCUAGAUCUCCUCGUGAAGAGGGGGGGGGGGGGGGGGGAGAGAGAGAGAUUCAUCAAAUUCUUAUUCUUUAUAAUAGUGAAACUCAUUGUCUUAUUUUUCAGUGAUUUUAGUGCUGAACCACUUUAAUUUUAUGUCGUUUAAUUAUAUUUUCGUUUCAGUUUCCGAAGAUAUAAUUAGAGUCUCGAAAAAAUUGUUUCUUUGAAAAAUUGGAAUAAAACACAAACAACCCACCCAAAAAAAAAAACCUGCAUGUCUCUUCUUCUUUGAUUUCUUGCAAGUUACAACGUACGCACUACAGGAAGGCAUCCCAAAUUUUCAUGCCCUCCACACAAACGAGUUUUUAUUAUUUAUAUUCCAACCUUAUACAAAACUAAAGAUCCCUCUCUAAAUCUUUCUCUAAUUUGCAAUGAAGGUUUUAACUCAGCCAGGGGCAGUCAGAAUCAUUUAUUCGUUGAGUUUUGAAAUUAUACAUCUCAGGUUAUAUUCUAAAAUGUAAAAUCUCUUCCCCAAUACUCUCAUAAGAAAUUAUUAACAUGAGGGCCCACCCCAAGAUGAGUGGUCUCUUAUUCCGACUUUUCCAGAGCCUACGGUAGCACAUUCCGGGAAGUCCAAUAAACAAAUCAUAAUUCGCACUAAAAACUGAUGAUGUUUUACAAUUUUAUCAAUAAUAAGAAUUAAUAUUAAAAGAAUAAUUAAUUUUUGUGGGUACGGUGUCUUCAUCAGUUAGGGGGAUUUUCUUUUUAUACUUCUAUUAUACAUACAAUCAACUAAUAAAAUCAUUAUAUGUGUACAAUGCAGUAUACGAUGUGUUAAAAUCAUUAUGGACUUGUUGUUCAUAGGUCAAAUGUACCAAAGCUUUAUUUUUCCUUCUUUCAAUCUUCACACAUCGUUCGAUCUUUCUUUUUUGAUGUAUGCGGGCUCCGCUUCCAUAGUCUCCUUCUCCCUUCUGUAAUCGGAUGGAGUAUGAUACCAGGUGACACCUAGACCGCGCAUUGGCCGGGGAGAGCCAACCGUCGCCAUUUCCGACGCCGUUUCUGCAUCAGAUGCUUCCGCUGUGUUGUUUAAAACCAGCAUUGAAAGAAUUGCCGAGAUCAUUAGCCAUGAUGUGAACUUAGACACCGCCAUGACUUGAUUUUAUUCAACAUUAAUUGCCUAUUUCUUAAUCUGGGCUCAGGGCUAAUUU